GCAAGUCGAGCGCCCCGCAAGGGGAGCGGCAGACGGGUGAGUAACGCGUGGGAAUCUACCCAUCCCUACGGAACAACUCCGGGAAACUGGAGCUAAUACCGUAUACGCCCUUCGGGGGAAAGAUUUAUCGGGGAUGGAUGAGCCCGCGUUGGAUUAGCUAGUUGGUGGGGUAAAGGCCUACCAAGGCGACGAUCCAUAGCUGGUCUGAGAGGAUGAUCAGCCACAUUGGGACUGAGACACGGCCCAAACUCCUACGGGAGGCAGCAGUGGGGAAUAUUGGACAAUGGGCGCAAGCCUGAUCCAGCCAUGCCGCGUGAGUGAUGAAGGUCUUAGGAUUGUAAAGCUCUUUCACCGGAGAAGAUAAUGACGGUAUCCGGAGAAGAAGCCCCGGCUAACUUCGUGCCAGCAGCCGCGGUAAUACGAAGGGGGCUAGCGUUGUUCGGAAUUACUGGGCGUAAAGCGCACGUAGGCGGAUAUUUAAGUCAGGGGUGAAAUCCCAGAGCUCAACUCUGGAACUGCCUUUGAUACUGGGUAUCUUGAGUAUGGAAGAGGUAAGUGGAAUUGCGAGUGUAGAGGUGAAAUUCGUAGAUAUUCGCAGGAACACCAGUGGCGAGGGCGGCUUACUGGUCCAUUACUGACGCUGAGGUGCGAAAGCG
rnacentral:rRNA from 1 species